UACGAGGGGGGCGAGCGUUGUUCGGAAUUAUUGGGCGUAAAGGGUGCGUAGGCGGUUUGGUAAGUCUGAUGUGAAAUCUAUGGGCUCAACUCAUAGUCUGCAUCGGAAACUGCCGGGCUUGAGUUCGGGAGAGGGAUGCGGAAUUCCAGGUGUAGCGGUGAAAUGCGUAGAUAUCAGGAGGAACACCUGUGGUGUAGACGGCUUUCUGGACCAUAGCUGACGCUGAGACACGAAAGCGUGGGUAGCAAACAGG
rnacentral:rRNA from 1 species